GACAUAUCAAUACACCUCCAGUAGACAACACAAUUGACACAAACAAACCCUAGAUCUGAAAAUUUGAAAUCAAAAUCUGUUGUCUUCUUCGCCUCAACCAGGGCAAGACGCAGCAGCGAGCAGCCCUCCACGAUCGCCAACUCUCGUAUCUCGCCUCUUCUUCCCAUUCUUCCGUUCAUUACCGCCGACCGCGAACCAGAAGCCAUUGUUGCCAUCGCCCGUCCACCGUGAACCCGCGACUGGAGCUCCACAGACUGCCGUCGGAAGUGUUGCUAGUCCCCGGAAGGAUUUGCCGUGCCGCCAGAGUAGGUUCCGCCGACUACUAUUCCUGCUCCAAUUCCGAUUUCAGUGUAGCAGACUAGCAGAGGGCACUGGGCAGAGGCGCAAUAUGAAGUGGAAGUCAAAAUUGGGAUAAAGGCUGUAUGCUAAGUAAUGAAUUGUUGGUUGUGUAUGUAUUAUUAUGAUGAAGGAAAACCAGAAUGCAUGCUAUCACAGGGAGAUUGAGUUCACACUUCCUCCUAUGGUCCAAUGUUGGUGGCAAUAUGCAGAUAAUAGUUUGCAGAGAUGUAAUAGUUUGGAGAUUAAAUAAGAAGUUAAAUUCUAUAAUGUUUUAAAUUUUCAAUUGUAUAUUCAUGAAAUGUAUAUAUGUUUUUCAACAAUUAUUUUA